rnacentral:lncRNA from 1 species
AGGGGGUAGGAAAGGACUGGGCAGGAGACUGGGCACAGUGUGUUCUGUGCUUGUGACAUCCAACACCUCACUGCUGUGUGUGCUCAGAAUGCACUGGCACCAGUAAAGUCCAAGUCCCUUAUUGUGGGAAUGCUAGAUUGUAUAAUAUUUUAACCUACCUAUUUAAUUAAAAUAGUAUUAAACUCAGUUGUAGGGACUGGGGUUGUGGCUCAGUGGUAGAGGGCUUGCCUUGUCCACACGAGGCACUGGGUUCUAUCUUUAUCACCACAUAAAAAUAAAUAAAUAAAAUAAAAGUGUUGUGUCCCUAUAGAACGAAAAAUAUUUAUUUAAAUAUUCAGUUUUAUAUAAACAGUAAUCAAGUCAUUAAGGAGUUAAGAAAAAUUUAAAGUAAGUAAAUUGAAUAAAAGUGUACAAAACUUAAAAGUUCUGGAAAUUUCCCUGUAUGCUCAUAAUAUCAAUUUGGUGCUAUCAAUCUUGAGAAUCCUGAGAACUAAGAGUAUAAACAGGCAAGUGUCCUUCAGUGUUUGGGGCACAGUUUUCCCUGACUCCCUGCACCUGGAAUGUCCAUGAAUUGAUCCUCCAUUGAGUGGUGACAGGCUGUGACAUAGAGAUGGUGGCCUGCUGCCCUCAGGGGCCUCUGGACUCAGGAUCCACCCUGACACCUGGGUUUGGAGAAGCCCCUCUGGGAGGAUGGGUCUCUAGUCUCAACAGGGAACCUACUCUCAGCUCACACUGAAGAGACGUCCCUUUGGGCCCAGGCAGGAGUGGAGGGCUGUGUCUCUCCUCCUGGCCACACAGGGGUGUGUGUGUGCCACUGGGCUGCUGGGUCCUCAGAACACUGCCUGGGGCUGGAGUGACAGUGCCAACUUUGCACUCAGCACUCUGACCUGACCACACCCAUUUAGGUCCAGUACCCAGCAGCCUCCCAGCUCCAGGGGUCACACAUGGACUUGCAGCUUCAUGGACACAACUGACAGCCUCUGGCAUCAGAGUCAAAACCACAAGGAACCCAUGUGCCUAAGUCCCUUCUCUUUCAGUUGAGCCUGGUCACCCUAGAGACCCACUGGCCCCUCCCCUCCAGGGUCCAGUAAAGUUAGUCUCACCCACUCUGAUAAACCCUGGUAAUGUGUGUCCAGGGGAGAGGGAUGAGCUGUGUCCACUGCUCAGGUUUCAUGUCCACACAGAGCAUGGUGAGCUGACCACGGGACUUUGAGAGUCUGCCUUGGACUUAGAAAUGCUGCCUGUUCUUUUCUUUCUAUGGGCAAUUUAGGAACACUUUUCUGAUCAACAAGGAACUUCUAAAAUAUUGUCAUCAAUUUCUGAAAUAAAAAAAUGAUCAGAAUGGAGGCUUUUAAAUAUUUU